GUCUACAGCCAUACCACCCUCAACGUGCCCUAUCUCAUUUGAUCUCAGAAGAUAAGCAGAGUCGGGCCUGGUUAGUACUUGGAUGGGAGAAU
rnacentral:rRNA from 1 species